GAUGAAGAACGCAGCGAAAUGCGAUAAGUAAUGUGAAUUGCAGAAUUCAGUGACUCAUCGAAUCUUUGAACGCACAUUGCACCCCUUGGUAUUCCGAGGGGCAUGCCUGUUCGAGCGUCAUUACACCACUCAAGCACUGCUUGGUAUUGGGCACCCGUCCGCCGAAAGGCGGGCGUGCCUCGAAGACCUCGGCGGGGUUUCACCAACUUCGGGCGUAGUAGAGUUAAAUCAAAACGUCUUACAAGCUUGGUGGGGCCUCAUUGCCGUUAAACCUUUUAUUUUUCAGGUUGACCUCGGAUCAGGUAGGGAUACCCGCUGAACUUAAGCAUAUCAAUAAGCGGAGGA
rnacentral:misc_RNA from 1 species